UUUCCGUAGGUGAACCUGCGGAAGGAUCAUUAUCGAAAUACUUAUUUAGCGUUCCGUGCUAUCCCAUUGUUUUAUUUACCCUGUUGCUUCCACUGGAUGAGUUUCCAUACCUUGUGUUUGAGAAACUUUGGCUUGUUCGGAGGGGGGCUUACGUUUUCACACAAACUUUGUAUGCAGUGUAGAAUGUAUUUUUUGUUUUUGCGAUCACGCAAUCAAUACAACUUUCAACAACGGAUCUCUUGGCUCUCGCAUCGAUGAUGAACGCAGC
rnacentral:misc_RNA from 1 species